rnacentral:rRNA from 1 species
CCUACGGGCGGCAGCAGUGAGGAAUAUUGGUCAAUGGGCGUAAGCCUGAACCAGCCAAGUCGCGUGAGGGAUGAAGGUUCUAUGGAUCGUAAACCUCUUUUAUGAGGGAAUAAAGUGUGGGGCGUGUCAUCUUUUGUAUGUACCUUAUGAAUAAGGAUAGGCUAACUCCGUGCCAGCCGCCGCGGUAAUACGGAGGAUCCGAGCGUUAUCCGGAUUUAUUGGGCUUAAAGGGUGCGUAGGCGGCCUUUUAAGUCAGCGGUGAAAGUCUGUGGCUCAACCAUAGAAUUGCCGUUGAAACUGGGGGGCUUGAGUAUUUUUGAGGCGGGUAGAAUGCGAGGUGUAGCGGUGAAAUGCUUAGAGAUCACGCAGAACCCCGAUUGCGAAGGCAGCCCGCCAAGCAAUGACUGACGCUCAUGUACGAAAGCGUGGGGAUCAAACAGGAUUAGAUACCCGUGUAGUC